AAUAAAAGUUCUAAUGUUUAAGCUAUGUUUAUAGUAAAAAUUAAAUCAUUAAAAUCAUUUAAACUUUGAUAAUAAUUUUCUGUCUAAACUCUGUCCUACCUUUAAAAAGGACAACAUGAAAUCAUCUUAUUUCCUUUCUGUUGGUAGGUAACUGUGAAGGCUCAAGGCAGUGACCAAGAGUCCUGAGCUGACAUUAAAAAGGGUCUUUGCAUUUUGUAUAUAAUAAGGUAUCUCUUAACAGGGGUCAUGCAAUAAUUCAUCAGUUUCAGUAUCCAGCAGGGUUAUUAUUAGUCAUCUGGGAUGCAGAAGUCAGAAGUUAAACAAAAACAAGAACAGAUUUGCUCUUCUUUUUCUUUCUUAGACUUCGGCUUGAAGUUAUACAGGAUGAUUCCAUCUUCACUCUGCUGUCCUGAAACAUUUCAGUUGUGAACAGAAUCAUGAUUUCUUCGACCUGAGCAUCUAAAGUUUCUUCAGCAGUUGCCUUGGUUUUGAGGAGAAAGGAAAGGAAGAGAAGGCUAUUUGGCAGAGGUGCAAUGUGCAGAGAAGGUGCUUGGCAGGCUGGGCGCGGGGAGCGUGAGGAGUUUACCCCACUGUGGAACAAGGCCUCUGUGUCGAAGCAAAUGGUGAAACUGGUCAUAUAUAUCAUCCUCGGUUAAAGGUUACCUUCAAAUAUAACAAUAUAACAUAAAA